AAUGGGCGAAAGCCUGACGGAGCAACGCCGCGUGAGGGAUGAAGGCCUCUGGGCUGUAAACCUCUUUUAUCAAGGAAGAAGAUCUGACGGUACUUGAUGAAUAAGCCACGGCUAAUUCCGUGCCAGCAGCCGCGGUAAUACGGGAGUGGCAAGCGUUAUCCGGAAUUAUUGGGCGUAAAGCGUCCGCAGGCGGCCCUUCAAGUCUGCUGUUAAAAAGUGGAGCUUAACUCCAUCAUGGCAGUGGAAACUGUUGGGCUUGAGUGUGGCAGGGGCAGAGGGAAUUCCCGGUGUAGCGGUGAAAUGCGUAGAUAUCGGGAAGAACACCAGUGGCGAAGGCGCUCUGCUGGGCCAUCACUGACGCUCAUGGACGAAAGCCAGGGGAGCGAAAGGGAUU
rnacentral:rRNA from 1 species